rnacentral:rRNA from 1 species
UAAUACAGAGGGUGCGAGCGUUAAUCGGAUUUACUGGGCGUAAAGGGCGCGUAGGCGGUUUGGUGAGUGUGAUGUGAAAGCCCCGGGCUUAACCUGGGAAGUGCAUCGCAAACGACCAGACUGGAGUAUAAGAGAGGGUGGCGGAAUUUCCGGUGUAGCGGUGAAAUGCGUAGAGAUCGGAAGGAACGUCAAUGGCGAAGGCAGCCACCUGGCUUAAUACUGACGCUGAGGCGCGAAAGCGUGGGGAUCGAACAGG